rnacentral:lncRNA from 1 species
CUGUCAUCUAUUUCUCCUCUAAACACUCACUUCCUUUCUCAGAGCACACUUACAAUCCAGACACACGUGACUGCGGGUUCUGAGGCGCUCGCUAACUUCGCCUGUCAGUUCUCCACAAGUUCCAGUCAGCUUUGUAUCAGGAACAGCCCUCCUCCACAGUUCCCACAAUGCACCUGCAUCCUUACAAACAGCACACUUCCUGCUGAAGGUAUGCAUGUCACAGUUAAGAUUAGACUUGGGAAGACACGUUUGACUGAACCACUGAAGAUAUCCAACUGUGCUGACAUCAUUGGACCACCAACCUCUGUCCUGUAAGUCCAUACGCAAGUAGACAGAUAAUUCCUACCAUAAAUUAUAGAAGAUAGAGCUGAAAAAGCUAAAAUACAUAAUCAGUUA